rnacentral:rRNA from 1 species
AUUCACCUGUGAGGCGAACUGGACAAGUUUCGCUGGAAUUUACAUCAGAGCGGCAUGUUCUCAGUUCAAUCUUUGUACGAUGCAAUGGUGCAUAGUGAUAUUGCGAUUGAUAAGAAGAAAUUGUGGAAGCUCAAAAUUCCUCUAGGAGUGAAGAUUUUCCUCUGGUUUCUAAAUGAAGGAGUCAUCUUAAUUAGAGAUGACCUGGCACGACGCAAUUGGCAAGGUAGUAAGACAUGUAUCUUUUGCCAACAUGACAAGUCAAUUAAACACUUAUUUUUGAAGUGUAAGUUCGCUCUUGUAGUGUGGGCCAUAGUUCAAGUAGCUUUAAAUAUAUAUCCCUACGUAGUGCACCUAACAUGUUCGGCAAUUGAUUACGGAGUAUUUAUAAACAAUUUUCUGCACAUAUUCUGGUGGGGACGGUUGCCUUAUGCUAGGCAUUGUGGUUUAUCAUGA